rnacentral:lncRNA from 1 species
GUUAACAACUUACCAACGAAUCGUUCGGUUAAUGACUCGGUAGAGCUCGGUGACACGUAGUUUAGUUACCGCGUUUAUUUAGAUACUUAUAAGAUAUUCUGUGUUAGGGAUAUUAUAGAAUGCACGCUAGCGAGUCACGUCUUGGAAACGACAUCACAAAGUCAUAUUAAGCUAGCUUUGCACAUGGAAAUCCAGGUGAGCUCAUAACCCCACCUAUUUACGGUUUUACAUUUUUAUAAAUGUUUUCGGGGUGGAAAGACAUGCACGUUUUGUAGAAAUAUACAAUGCUUUCGAUGAACAAAGAUUGCAUAUUUUUAGACAAGCACGUUUUGCAAGUACAUACGAGGUUUUUGAAGGAACAAAAACUAUAUAUUUCUAAACCAUGUUACAACACGUUUUAACUAACACAAAUGAUUUGUAAUUUUCACUGAACUCAAAUGGUUUACGAAUGGUUUCUCCGACAUCACACACACCAGCAAUACCCCCCCCCCUCUUCAGCUUCAUCAAAAUGGACCACCACCACCAUUGUCGGGUGGUGGUGAGUGACGGAUAGACCAGAAUAGAGAGGCAGAGAGAGAGAGAGAGAGAGAGAGAGAGAAAGAUCGAAGAUGGAACACCGCCAACGCUCACGGCGGCGGCAGUGGAGGCGACGACGGUGGUUUGAUACUUCUUCGACGAGUUUCACGUGAUGAUGGAGGUGGUGGCCGACACCACUGCCGACCGGCGACGGAGUCGCCGGUGGCACCGGUAACAUCACAGCUCGAAGAUUUGGAGUUUGGUUCAAGAUUGAGUUUCAGUUUGGUCAAAUGGCAGAUUUGGUGUGGGUUUUGUGAGGCUCGUGUUUCGGUUCGGUUCAACAUCAAGCUCGGGUUUCAGUUCGGGAGCCUGGUUUUUUUUUUGUUUCGGGCAAGGUUUCAGGGUUGGGUUUCGGGCUUGAUAUCAGUUUUGGGGUUGGCUGGAUUUGGUCAAACAUCGGCUUCUGUUCAAGCUUCAGUCAACGCAAGUCAAGGUCGGGUCAACCUUGGUCAACGACAGCUUCGGUUCGGGUCCGGCACGCUCAGAUUCAGUUUUAGCGCGGUUCGGGUCGACUCGGUCAAACCUAUUCAAUUCGGUGCAACUUAGUCAACCCAGCGAGUCAACUCAGCCGGUCAACUCAGUUGACUCGGUCAACUUCCCAACGAGAAGAUGGUAAAGAAUUUACGGCGCAAUUCAUUUCGUUAUUCUUAUAGUUUUAUUAAAUUUUCGCAUGAAAAACGAGCUCGAACAGAUCAAUUAGAAUAUAGUUUAUCGUUUGACAUAUUUGGCGAAAGUUGAUCUAUUUUGAUUGAAUAAUUAUUGAUUGAAUUUUGA